UACGGAGGGUGCGAGCGUUAUCCGGAAUUACUGGGUUUAAAGGGUGCGUAGGCGGCUAUGUAAGUCAGGAGUGAAAGUUUGCGGCUCAACCGUAAAAUUGCUUUCGAUACUGCAUGGCUGGAAUUAGGAUGAGGUCAGCGGAAUGUGGCAUGUAGCGGUGAAAUGCAUAGAUAUGCCAUAGAACACCAAUUGCGAAGGCAGCUGGCUAGACCUGGAUUGACGCUGAGGCACGAAAGCGUGGGGAGCGAACAGG
rnacentral:rRNA from 1 species